UGUCCCAUGGCUUAGUUGGUUACGGCGUCCGACUGUUAUAGUAUAGCAAUCACCAUGAAAAAUUUGACAUCGGAAGAUCGAGAGUUCAAGUCUCUCUGGGACAG